rnacentral:rRNA from 1 species
CCUACGGGUGGCAGCAGUGGGGAAUAUUGCACAAUGGGGGAAACCCUGAUGCAGCGACGCCGCGUGAGUGAAGAAGUAAUUCGUUAUGUAAAGCUCUAUCAGCAGGGAAGAAAAUGACGGUACCUGAGUAAGAAGCCCCGUCUAACUACGUGCCAGCAGCCGCGGUAAUACGUAGGGGGCAAGCGUUAUCCGGAUUUACUGGGUGUAAAGGGAGCGUAGACGGCAGUGCAGGUCUGGAGUGAAAGGGGGGGGCUCAACCCCCGGACUGCUCUUGAAACUGUACGGCUGGAGUGCAGGAGAGGUUAGUGGAAUUCCUGGUGUAGCGGUGAAAUGCGGAGAUAUUAGGAGGAACACCAGUGGCGAAGGCGGCUUACUGGACUGUAACUGACGUUGAGGCUCGAAAGCGUGGGGAGCAAACAGGAUUAGAUACCCUUGUAGUC